rnacentral:lncRNA from 1 species
AUUCUGAAGAUGACUCUGCAAGCAUGGAGUUCAUUCCAGAGGAGGUUAGAAUCACUCAGCAUGAAGAGAGGGUGUAACAGGAUGUUGUCUCUGCUGAGGAAGUGGGGCUGCCACCCGAUGGAUUGGAUGGAUUGUCGGUCAUCCCCGCAGGAGAGGCUGGGCCAGGUUGUGGUGCGUCCAACCCCCAGCCCUCUGGGCAGACCGGUUGUGAUCUAAGUCAUUUCAAGGGUUUCUCAAUGGACCGAUUGCCAGAGGUUGGGGUGUCAAGAAUUUGGGGUAUCAAGGUUAAGUACAAAACAUGGAUCUUUGUCUGACAAGACAGGCUGGCCGCUGACUGUUAAAUACUUCCCCACAAAAGGGACAAGCCCGGAGCCAGGUUACCGGCCCACACCGCAAGACAGGCUUUCUUUUAGGAAAUGGACAAAGCUCUAUGACCAGAACAAGCACUUUGGGGAAUUUAAAUUUGCUUUCCCUGACACGACUCCACUUUCAUCACUACCCCUGAACUUAAGGGGCAUCCAAACCUCAGUCUCAGCAGGUGCAGCUGUGUCACUGGGAUGGACACAGGAAGCAAUGUGGGGUCUUUGCUGCCAGUGAGCUCCCGGUCUAGGAGAAGAGAGAGGAAGCAUCUUUAUCUGUGUUAUCCCAGACAAACCACGACAAAACAAAACAGCCAGCCACAGCCUACACGUUUGGGCCAGGGUCGUGGUUCUCUCACGGAAUGCUGUUCAGAAGCGAAAAGACACCAACAUUGACAAUUCAGGAGAAGGAGAAUUUCAGACACCGUAUUCAGUUCUCUUUGUGGCUGAGUCUCUGCAAUACGCUGUCUUCCAUGUAAGGACUAGAAUCAAAGGCUGAGCUGUCUCCAUCGCUCCCUGCCCAUUGAGAGCCUAUGGUCAUAUGGGGAAACUACCUUUUCAUCAUGGAAAAGAAGAACUGGUGAGCUUCCUUUGCUGACUCAUUAAGCCAUUCAUCUAGCAUUCACCAAGUGCUACAUUCAUCCAGCGUUCACCAAGUGCUACCGGAGUGCCAGGCUCAGGGCCACAUAGAGCUGUUUAGCUGUUCUUGUGACUUUUUUUCCGCUUUUUCUUUUUUUUUUUUUUUUUGAGACGGAGUUUUGCUCUCAUCGCCCAGGCUGGAGUGCAAUGGUGUGAUCUCGGCUCACUGCAACCUCUGCCUCCCGGGGUGAAGCAAUUCUUGUACCUCAGCCUCCCGAGUAGCUGGGAUUACAGGUGUGUGCCAUCAUGCCUGGCUGAUUUUUGUAUUUUUAGUAGAAACGGGGUUUCCUCAUGUUGGCCAGGCUGUCUCAAACUCCUGACCUCAGGUGAUCCACCAGCCUCGGCCUCCAAAAGUGCUGGGAUUACAGGUGUGAGCCACCACGCCCGGCCAAUUUUUUUUUUCUCCUAACAUCUCAGGGGAACGUUUUUAUCCUCGUGCAGUUUGCCCAUCACGAGCCGGGUCCCGUGUUGAUGCCAAGGUCAUAGCAAGUGUCAUGCGGCACGCCAUUGGGUACUCGAAGUGUUUAGGUGCCUGCCCUCCCCUCGGAUCCGGCCCCAUCCAGGGGCCCUGCUCCCAUUUCCUGCCCUGCACCUUCCUCCAGGAAGUCCCCCUCCCGGCCACGCCAGCCCGUUUCCAGACCUCACCCUUGACCUUCACCCCUUAUUUGUGCACGUGCUGCCAUCCUUCGCGGUGUCACGUCUCACCGUCACAUUCCCAGCCGGGAUAGUUCCUGCAUAUCACGGAAGACCUGCCUAGGGAGCUGCCUUCCCGAGUUUUCAUCUUCUCUCGUCCUCAAGGAGCCUCCCGCCAGGCACGCGGCUCCUUCCGCUGGCUCUCCCCUCUCUCUUCUGUCACUAGAAGGGCCUUGACCCUAUCAGCGUCGAGCCUUUGUCGUGAUGACGCAUUUGUCUUCUCUCUGAGUGGCUCUGUACCGCGUUCUCUUAGCUAAUCUGUGUUUCUCAAAGUUCCCUUCCCUGAAUGGUUCCAACGUCCUGUUGGAGGAAAGAGAGAUUUGCAGAAAUUUGGAAGGUGGAAAUGAAGGAGCAGCUAUUUUCUACAGGACGAUCAUCUGUGUUUAUUCACACCGUGAGGCUCAAAGAGGUUGCUUCCCCCCUACCAGCGGAAAAGGGAUGCUGCACGAAGGAAUUUUAGGCAGUGACACUGUAAUGGUGGGUACGUGUCAUUCUACAUGUGCCCAAACCAGAGAACGGCCAACGCCGUGACUGGUCCGUGUGUUACAGUUGAUGAACCUGCAUUGGAGUAUCGGAGUCGCCAGUGCGGGCACAGACAUCUGCGGAAACAUCAAGCCCCGCUCAUCCCCUCCUAGUGGGAAGCCCCCCCUACAUUCAUCAACGCCACAGGUUUCUUUAUGGGAGAGUUUUAAAGGUUGUAGUUUUAGGCUGCCUAUUUGUUCAGAGCAGAGAAAGAGAAUAAGCUCUGAAAAUGGCAAAGGCAUAGCAGGAGGAGAUUGGAACCAUGGUGGAGAUCAGCCCCCAGGCCAGGACUGCACAAGCCGUCCCUCAGUGGGAGGGACCUUCCUGCUCGUGGUGGUCACUUGCCUCAUAGUGAGCACUCAUUCCCCCGCCGGGGGCGGCUGGCACCCAUCAUUGCAGAUCUGUGGGUGCUCCUAUCCCUCCAGAGGACACUAAAGAGCAGGGGAGAUGCACUUUCCUUCCAGUCCAAACCAGCCACCUGCCCGAAGGAAGAAGGAGAACCAGGGCUGCAUCCAAGGAAAACACUUUCAUUUCUCAAAGGAAAACAUUAGGAACCUGAGGGAAGCUAUUGCCAGGUGUGUAACUGACCCAGGAUCUUCAUCUAGAGCAGGGCUGGCAAAACAAGGCCCUCAGGCCAAAUCAGGUCCACCAUCCAUUUAUUUUGUAUUCUCUGUAAGCUAACCAUGAAUUUUAUUUUUUUUUAAUGGUUCAAAAAUGUAGAAGGAGAAUGAUGUUUUGUGACAUGUAAAAAUGAUAUGCUGUUCACGUUUUCAAGUCCAUCAAAAUAAGAUAAACUGAACAGCACCAGGCUCAUGGGUUUAGUAUUGUCUGCAGCUGUUUUACGUGACAGCAGGAGAAAAGGUCCCACAGAGACCACAUGGCUCACAAAGCCUAAAAGGUUAACUUUCUGGCUCAUUACUGGAAAAGUUUGCUGAUCCCUGACUAUUUUUAUUUUAUUUUAUUUUAUUUUAUUUUAUUUUAUUAUUUUUGAGACAGGAUCUCACUCUGUCACCCAGGCUGGAGUGCACUGGUGCAACCUCGGCUCACUGCAGCCCUGACGUCCCAGGCUCAAGCGAUCCUCCUAUCUCAGCCUCCCAAGUACCUGGGACUGGGACAGCAGGAGUGCAACACCCACACCAACACCAGACCACAGCCUUGACCCCUGAGUUUAGAGCAUGCAAGAAAUUCCUACAAAUCAAUUAGAAAAAACAAGCGAUUUAAAUAGAGAAAUGGGCAAAAGACCUGAACAAGCACUGUACCAAAGAAAAGAUCAAAAUGGCUACUCAACGGAUGCUCCCCUGUGUUAUUCAUCAGUGGCUGCUGCUUACAACCACAGUGAGAUAUCACUACAUAGCCGCCAGGACAGCAAAGUCAGGAAAGAGGAGCAGGAAUCAGUGUGGAUACAGAGAAACUGAACUCAGACACUGUUGGUGGGAACUGAACUCACACACUGCUGAGGAGAACUGAACUCACUCACACACCAUGGGGGGACUGAACUCACUCACACAGCACUGAGGGGACUGAACUCACACACCACGGCGGGGCCUGAACUCACUCACACACUACUGUGUGGAAACUGAACUCACUUGCGCACCCCUGGGGGGAAGUAACAUUUUUGCAUUGACCCUGGACCAAUAACCACUGAAACUGAACUGAAGCUUCCAUGGCGACACUGUGAUUCCCCACGACCAGCAGAAAUGCAAACAUAUUGCACACAAGGUCAUGCACAAGAAUGUUGACAGGAUCACUGUUUGUGUGUUUAUCUGAACCUUCACCUGCUCAUGACAGAUAAAGGUUAUCAUGUGAACGUGGGGAAGACAUCGCCAAACACCCAGGGGAGGUUUCCCUGGGAGCAGACACCUCCUCCCCUCGCCGUCCUCUUUUACCUCCCGUUGCCGUCCUCUUUGAAAUGCCCUGCAGCACGGUCAAGGGACUCUGCUGCUCUGCCAGUCCACUGUGUAGGUCUUCCUGCUUCUCCACUUUAUUUCCACCAAAUUAUAAACUCUUGGAAACAAAGAUUCUGCCAUCACGCAUUUCUUUAUCACUCACAGCAUCUGGAUGUCCUCCACAACAGCAAGUGGCACCUGUCAUAUUUUGUUUUGUGUUUUUUGUUGUUGUUGUUUUGUUUUUUUUUGAGACGGAGUCUCGCUUUCUUGCCCAGGCUGGAGUGCAGUGGUGUGAUCUCUGCUCAUUGCAAGCUCCGCCUCUCGGGUUCAAGCGAUUCUCCUGCCUCAGCCUCCCUAGUAGCUGGGACUACAGCUGCGUGCCACCACGCCUGGCUAAUUUUUUGAAUUUUUAGUAGAGACGGGGUUUCACAGUGUUAGACAGGAUGGUCUUGAUCUCCUGACCUCGUGAUCCACCCGCCUCGGCCUCCCGAAAGUGCUGGGAUUACAGGCAUGAGCCAACGCGCCUGGCCACCUGUCACGUUUUACAGCUAAGGAAGCUGAGGUCACAUGUCCAAGGAGUCAAGCAUGGGACGUCUCUGUCCUUACCCAACGUGGGUCUCACCACCACUCCUUAUUGACUCCACUCUGAUCAGACUGUGCCUCUGAUAACUCCCAGGACAGGCUCAGCCUUUUCAAGCUUCUGGGCCUUCACAUUUGCUUUUGCCUCUCUACCUGGGUCUUUAUUUCUUCUAUUGUCCAAGGACCAAGUCCUCCUCAUCCUUCAGGUCUCAACUCUGGCUGGGCUCCGAGGAGGAGCUACCACCUGGGACGCCACUACCUGUCGGGCCUGCCUCCCUCUCUUACUCGCUCAUGUCCUUGCAUUUCACUCAUUGAAUGAUCUUAAACAUUCAUGAUAGAAUGAUCUAUCAUGUCAUAAAAAUGACAUGAUAAUUAUUUUUAUCUCUUUGUGGACUGUUUAUUUUCUGUCCUGCCCUUCCCACCUCACAAGAAUGGGAAGCCCCAUGGUGGGCUGGGACAUCAUCUGUCUUAUUCACACGUGAUGUUAAAAGAGAUUGUUUUCUUCCUAACGGUGAUGAAGUUACACUGCACAGAGGAUCUUCAGGGCAGUGAAGCUACUCUGCAUGGCACUGUCAUGGUGGAUAAGAGUCAGUGUACAUCUGUGCAGACCCAGAGGAUGAACAACACCUAGAGCGAGCCCUCGUGUAAACCACGGACUCCAGGCAAUGAAGACGUGUCCAUGUGGGUUCACCAAUGGAGAGAGGCUGUGGCCUGUGUACCGCCGGAUCCUGCCUGGAACUGACUGCACCUGCUGUUAUUUGCUAAAGCCCCAGCCCGGGGCUGCCCUAAUUCCCUAUUCUCCUCACGAAGCCCAUAGCUGUUGGGAAAGACAGUCCCAGGGUCCUUCCCACGUGUAAGUGUCUUCCUCAGGCGUGUCCAGAGCACUGUGGCUGGAUUGCUCUUUCCCGGACCAUCUCUCAGGGCUGUGCGUGCAGGGAGCCAUCCUCGAGGGAGGAGGAAAUGUGUCCCCCGCGGACAAGGAGCAGGCAUCGACUGUCUGCUAUAGAACAGGGUCCCAGCGUCCGUGUGCCUCGGCCGGGACACAGAGCCAGCGUGCACCCGGCACCGAGCUGAGCUGUUCCACGCGGCCCUGUGGGAUGUGGGGCCAAGGGAACCACAGACUCCUGCCCGUGCUGUCUUCUGCGCAGUGAGGAAUAAAACCCUGGUCUCUGAUCGACGCGUCUCCCGACUUCUAGCAGCGUCAAUGAAAUAGCAAAAGGCAACUUAUUAGCUUGUAAGUAAAGUGAAAGAAAAUCCGUGACCUUGUAGUUCAAUGUAAGUUCAGGGCUGAUAAUUUAAUUUUAAAUUUUUUCCACAUGGAAAUUGCUUUAAUGAGCUUUUAC